GUAUAGGGUAGGCGUAGCGAAAGCGAGUCUUAAUAGGGCGUUUAGUCGCUGGGUAUAGACCCGAAACCGGGCGAUCUAUCCAUGAGCAGGUUGAAGGUUAGGUAACACUGACUGGAGGACCGAACCCACUCCCGUUGAAAAGGUAGGGGAUGACUUGUGGAUCGGAGUGAAAGGCUAAUCAAGCUCGGAGAUAGCUGGUUCUCCUCGAAAGCUAUUUAGGUAGCGCCUCAUGUAUCACUCUGGGGGGUAGAGCACUGUUUCGGCUAGGGGGUCAUCCCGACUUACCAAACCGAUGCAAACUCCGAAUACCCAGAAGUGCCGAGCAUGGGAGACACACGGCGGGUGCUAACGUCCGUCGUGAAAAGGGAAACAACCCAGACCGCCAGCUAAGGUCCCAAAGUUGUGGUUAAGUGGUAAACGAUGUGGGAAGGCUUAGACAGCUAGGAGGUUGGCUUAGAAGCAGCCAUCCUUUAAAGAAAGCGUAAUAGCUCACUAGUCGAGUCGGCCUGCGCGGAAGAUGUAACGGGGCUCAAACCACACACCGAAGCUGCGGGUGUCACGUAAGUGACGCGGUAGAGGAGCGUUCUGUAAGCCUGUGAAGGUGAGUUGAGAAGCUUGCUGGAGGUAUCAGAAGUGCGAAUGCUGACAUGAGUAACGACAAUGGGUGUGAAAAACACCCACGCCGAAAGACCAAGGGUUCCUGCGCAACGUUAAUCGACGCAGGGUUAGUCGGUUCCUAAGGCGAGGCUGAAAAGCGUAGUCGAUGGGAAACAGGUUAAUAUUCCUGUACUUCUGGUUACUGCGAUGGAGGGACGGAGAAGGCUAGGCCAGCUUGGCGUUGGUUGUCCAAGUUUAAGGUGGUAGGCUGAAAUCUUAGGUAAAUCCGGGGUUUCAAGGCCGAGAGCUGAUGACGAGUCGUCUUUUAGAUGACGAAGUGGUUGAUGCCAUGCUUCCAAGAAAAGCUUCUAAGCUUCAGGUAACCAGGAACCGUACCCCAAACCGACACAGGUGGUCGGGUAGAGAAUACCAAGGCGCUUGAGAGAACUCGGGUGAAGGAACUAGGCAAAAUGGCACCGUAACUUCGGGAGAAGGUGCGCCGGCUAGGGUGAAGGAUUUACUCCGUAAGCCCUGGCUGGUCGAAGAUACCAGGCCGCUGCGACUGUUUAUUAAAAACACAGCACUCUGCAAACACGAAAGUGGACGUAUAGGGUGUGACGCCUGCCCGGUGCCGGAAGGUUAAUUGAUGGGGUUAGCGCAAGCGAAGCUCUUGAUCGAAGCCCCGGUAAACGGCGGCCGUAACUAUAACGGUCCUAAGGUAGCGAAAUUCCUUGUCGGGUAAGUUCCGACCUGCACGAAUGGCGUAACGAUGGCGGCGCUGUCUCCACCCGAGACUCAGUGAAAUUGAAAUCGCUGUGAAGAUGCAGUGUAUCCGCGGCUAGACGGAAAGACCCCGUGAACCUUUACUGUAGCUUUGCACUGGACUUUGAGCCUGCUUGUGUAGGAUAGGUGGGAGGCUUUGAAGCGUGGACGCCAGUUCGCGUGGAGCCAUCCUUGAAAUACCACCCUGGCAUGCUUGAGGUUCUAACUCUGGUCCGUGAUCCGGAUCGAGGACAGUGUAUGGUGGGCAGUUUGACUGGGGCGGUCUCCUCCUAAAGAGUAACGGAGGAGUACGAAGGUGCGCUCAGACCGGUCGGAAAUCGGUCGCAGAGUAUAAAGGCAAAAGCGCGCUUGACUGCGAGACAGACACGUCGAGCAGGUACGAAAGUAGGUCUUAGUGAUCCGGUGGUUCUGUAUGGAAGGGCCAUCGCUCAACGGAUAAAAGGUACUCCGGGGAUAACAGGCUGAUACCGCCCAAGAGUUCAUAUCGACGGCGGUGUUUGGCACCUCGAUGUCGGCUCAUCACAUCCUGGGGCUGAAGCCGGUCCCAAGGGUAUGGCUGUUCGCCAUUUAAAGUGGUACGCGAGCUGGGUUUAGAACGUCGUGAGACAGUUCGGUCCCUAUCUGCCGUGGACGUUUGAGAUUUGAGAGGGGCUGCUCCUAGUACGAGAGGACCGGAGUGGACGAACCUCUGGUGUUCCGGUUGUCACGCCAGUGGCAUUGCCGGGUAGCUAUGUUCGGAAAAGAUAACCGCUGAAAGCAUCUAAGCGGGAAACUUGCCUCAAGAUGAGAUCUCACUGGGAACUUGAUUCCCCUGAAGGGCCGUCGAAGACUACGACGUUGAUAGGCUGGGUGUGUAAGCGUUGUGAGGCGUUGAGCUAACCAGUACUAAUUGCCCGUGAGGCUUGACCAU
rnacentral:rRNA from 1 species